UACGUAGGGGCAAGCGUUGUCCGGAUUUAUUGGGCGUAAAAGAGCGUGUAGGCGGUUGGGUAGGUCCGUUGUGAAAACUCGAGGCUCAACCUCGAGACGCCGAUGGAAACCCCCAGCUAGAGUCCGGAAGAGGAGAGUGGAAUUCCUGGUGUAGCGGUGAAAUGCGCAGAUAUCAAGGAAGAACACCCCGUGGCUAAGGCGGCUCUCUAGUAACGGGUAC
rnacentral:rRNA from 1 species